GUAGGUGAAUCUGUGGAAGGAUCAUUACAGAGUUCAUGCCCUCACGGGUAGACCUCCCACCCUUGUGUAUCUAUACCAUGUUGCUUUGGCAGGCUGCUGGUUUUUUUGGGGGACAGCCUCAGCGCCCUCGGGCCUGAGAGGCGCCUGCCGGAGGAAAAACAAACUCUGAAUUGUUAGUGUCGUUUGAGUAUUAUAUUUUAAUAGUUAAAACUUUCAACAACGGAUCUCUUGGUUUUG
rnacentral:misc_RNA from 1 species